rnacentral:lncRNA from 10 species
GCAAGAUGGCCAAGACCCAGCCAGGUGGAACAGCUCCCACAAAGGGACUGAGAGGACUGGCGUGCGUUUAAGCGAUCUUUAGUGGGAAGGCCGAAAGUGGAUGGAGGGAACACACAAAAGCUGAGCUGAAGUGUGAGAAAGCUGGGAACCCUCCAUGGAGCUACUGCACACCGGGACUCAGUUUUGGACCACAGCAAUUCCAGGGAAAUGGGCUUAACAACUGCUUGAGGUAUGGAUAUUUGGCAGGAGCCACUCUUUUAGGAGGAGCCACCAACUUGGACCAUGAGUAGGAAGACCAUGCCUGAGGGAAAACAAAGGAGGCUCAUUCCAGGAAGAUUUCAUCAAGCCCACACAAUCGCCAUGGUCUGUAAAACACAGUGAGAAAUAAUUCUAUACCUGUUUUAGGUUACUUACAAUGUUGAAUGCUAACCAAAGCAAUCAUGUUUAUUAUAAUUUCAUGAUUUCUCAAGAACCUUAUUUAUUGAAAAGGUUUGACGCCUCUUUCACUCACUAAUGUAAUUUUAACUGGGUCUGGGAAUAAACGUAUGUGCAUAACUUGCCAUUUUGAAAUAGGGCCCCUGUCAGUUAAUUUUUACUUAAAUUUUCAUACAAAAUAAAACAUGUAUAAACAUUGUACACAUCAAACUCAAUGACUUUUCACAGAGUAAACAAUUCACACAUGUGACCACAACCUAGAACAAGAAAUACAGUAUUUUACCAAUGAUUCAGAAACCUCUGAUACCUGCUUCUAAUUACAACACCCUGUGUUCUCCGUGAAGAUAGCUAACCUGAAGUCUAACAUCAUACAUAGUAUUGCCUACUUUUGAAAUUUAUAUGAUUGGAUUUAUACAUUUAUAAGAAUCAACCAUGUAACUAUGUGCUUUAUUUACUUUAAAUACUGUAAGGGAUUCCAUGAAAUUUAACUUUAGGUAAAUCUUUUGUAUGUGAAAUAAAACAGUAUCACUUAGAUUGUAUAUUAAUAACUAUCUUCAUUGUCUUGGAGUAGGAGAAGGAUUUCUUGAAAAACAAGGCACUAAUGAUAUAACGACUGCUUUAAAUUAAUUCAUAAAUAAUAUGAAAUUACAACUCAUAUAAUAUGAAUUGAGAUUGUAAAAAAGAAUACACACAAACACACAC